UGAUGAAUGAUCAUGUUCAUCCUGUGUCUUCAUUCCCUUUCAAGGGACGAUGGGGUCCAUUUCAGUUUGAUUUCCAAAUUUUGACACAUAAUAAUUAAAGCAUUACUGCAGGUUGGAAAUCAAGAGUUUGGAUUCUGAGUCCUCGGUCUGCUCUUUUGGCCUGUGAGAUUUCCACGAGGAUAAAUCCAGGCCAUGUAAUGUGAGCAGAAGGGCUCUUGCCCUGUAUAGUCCUGGCCCUUGAAAACGUCCCAUGUGAUGCACCGGACUUUUUCCCUUUACCACUGAGUGGAAUAGACUCAAAUACUGCAGAAAAAUUUGCAGUCACCUGUUGAUGAUGGAAAAAUCCACAAAACAGGGGGUACCCAUGUCCCCGAAUCACUCUUUGGAGAGCAACUUAGAACAUCCAUCUGAUCAGGAAUGCCUGCCUUGUGUUCUUAUACCAGGGAAAGAUAAGAUUCUAUUAUGAUCAAAUUCCUGACAGCAUUCUCUUUACCCGUUACAGCAGUCAGCAUUAAGUUAACUGACAAAUAUCUUUAACACCACACUAUCCAAAAAACCUUUCUAUACUUCAUGUGUUGAAAAUAGCAAAUACCUCUCCCAAAACUUAAAGUGAUCUUUUAAAUUACGUUAUAAAAUUAUUUAUACAAGAAAA